GGCCCCCUCCUCGGCGUGCUGCCUGUGGUCGGAGUGGUCCGCCCUGCCCCGCCCCCGCCACCCCCUCCCCUGACGCUGGUGCUAAGCAGUGGGCCAGCCAGCCCGCCCCGCCAGGCCAUCCGCGUCAAGAGGGUGUCCACUUUCUCUGGCCGGUCCCCGCCAGCACCUCCCCCAUACAAAGCCCCCCGGCUCGAUGAAGAUGGAGAGGCCUCAGAGGAUACCCUCCAGGUUCCGGGGCUUGGCAGUGGCGGGUGAGUGCGGGUGCUGAGGCUGGCAGAGCAGGCAAGGGGGCGGAUGGGCGGGAGAUGCGGCUCAUCCUUCUCGGGCUCGCCCUCCCAGGUUUAGCCGUGUGAGGAUGAAAACCCCCACGGUGCGUGGGGUCCUUGACCUGGAUCGGACUGGGGAGCCUGCUGGGGAAGAAAGUCCUGGGUGAGUGGCCAGGCCCCUCUCCCUGGAGGGUCUGGGACCUCUGUCCUUCCCCUUCCUGACAGGUCUCUUCUCGCAGGCCUCUCCAGGAACAGUCCCCUUUGCUGCCACUUCUGGAAGGUGGUCCUUCCCAGGUCCCCGAUGGUCCCCCAGACUUGCUACUUGAGUCCCAGUGGCACCACUAUUCAGGUGAGGCUUCGAGCUCUGAGGAAGAGCCUCCAUCCCCAGAUGAUAAAGAGAACCAGGCCCCAAAACGGACUGGCCCACAUCUGCGCUUCGAGAUCAGCAGUGAGGAUGGGUUCAGCGUGGAGGCAGAGAGCUUGGAGGGGGCGUGGAGAACUCUGAUCGAGAAAGUGCAAGAGGCCCGAGGGCAUGCCCGACUCAGACAUCUCUCCUUUAGUGGAAUGAGUGGGGCGAGACUCCUGGGCAUCCACCACGAUGCUGUCAUCUUCCUGGCCGAGCAGCUCCCCGGA
rnacentral:sRNA from 1 species